UACGUAGGGGGCUAGCGUUGUCCGGAUUUAUUGGGCGUAAAGAGCGUGUAGGCGGCCAGGUAGGUCUGGUGUGAAAACUCGAGGCUUAACCUCGAGAUGUCAUCGGAAACCAUCUGGCUAGAGUCCGGAAGAGGAGAGUGGAAUUCCUGGUGUAGCGGUGAAAUGCGCAGAUAUCAGGAAGAACACCAAUGGCGAAAGCAGCUCUCCGGGACGGUACUGACGCUGAGACGCGAAAGCGUGGGGAGCGAACAGG
rnacentral:rRNA from 1 species